AAUAAGUGGGUCAGAGGGACCGAGAGGAGAUGAGGCGAUCAAUCUUAGCCCCCUGACAGCUCCCUCCGAUGGCAUCAAAGAAUUUGGCUCUUUGGGAAAGCCGAGGGAACAGCCGAAAUUCCACAUCCCUUUAAAAGGCCUGGGGGUGGGGGUGAUAGCAAAAGAGAAAGGUGAUUCUGGGAGAGCAGGGAAACAGAUGGGCAAUGGGGACAGAGGGAAGGACGCUGAGUUGGGUGGAAAGUUUGUGUGGAGAACUCCCACGGCUCUGGCCUCCCCUCCCCCUCCUCCUCUCGGCUGCCCAGCAAGGAGGAGAAGGCUGGUUAGCAGAGAAAUGGCAACUCAGCCGGGAGCUGGAACUAGAAACUUUCUGUCAAUGUAACAGCCGCGUGGGUGGCGACCCAAUGGUGGUUGGGCUUCGGGUCACGUGACGACUUCUUUGUAGCUCCGGAAGAGAACUGUGAAGUUUAGGUUCCUUGGAAGAAGCAGUAAACGGCCAGAUGUUGUUGUUGUUGUUGUUGUUGUUGUUGUUGUUGUUGAAGGUGUGGCCAGGAAGUUGUGGCCAAAGGCACGAGAGGACAAAAGGAGAACUGCAAGGAAAAAAAAAAUCAAGAUUUGGAGGAAUUACUCACAGAGAUGGAAGUCUGUGUCCUUUGAUUUCCCCAAAAGAAGAAGAGAGAAAAACUGUAUAACUGCUGGACUUUACUACCAAGAGACGCAAAAGUACUUCCUAACUGAGGACAUCUUCUCCCAAAGGAAAAAAAGUCCACAGAGCAAUUAGAACAAUAUUAUUCUCUGGGUUGGAAACAGGGUACCUUGUUUACUGAAGUUUUCUGAGGCAAAAAAAAAAAAAAUCAUUAUUUUAAUGCAGACGCUUAAAAC